rnacentral:lncRNA from 1 species
CCGACUCAUCAUCGGGCUUACAUGUCCGACGUCCGACUUCACUGACCGACCGACCGACGGGUGCCGUUACCGACCGAUCGACGGCUAUCGAUCGACCGAGGAUACGUCGGUCGGACAGACCUUUUCCGCUCUCCCAACCGACUGCACUAUGGGGUCCGAUGCCCGACUCUUGCAAAGUGCCCGACUGACUGUCGGAGGGGCCCAAAUUUUCACCCGACGCCCCUCAGCUGGCCGCCGAUCUAUGGUCGGUCGGCUCCUCCAAUCGCCGUAUUACUGCCAGAGACUGUCAG